rnacentral:rRNA from 1 species
UACGUAGGAGGCAAGCGUUGUCCGGAAUUACUGGGCGUAAAGCGCGUGUAGGUGGUGGGACAAGUCUGCUGUGAAAGCGCCUGGCUUAACCGGGCGAGGUCGGCGGAAACUGUCCGACUCGAGGACGGUAGAGGGGGGUGGAAUUCUCGGUGUAGCAGUGAAAUGCGUAGAUAUCGAGAGGAACACCAGUGGCGAAGGCGAGUCCCUGGACAACUUCUGACGCUGAGGCACGAAAGCUAGGGGAGCAAACAGG